AACGAACGCUGGCGGCAUGCCUAACACAUGCAAGUCGAACGAGACCUUCGGGUCUAGUGGCGCACGGGUGCGUAACGCGUGGGAACCUGCCCUUAGGUUCGGAAUAACUCCCCGAAAGGGGUGCUAAUACCGGAUAAUGUCUUCGGACCAAAGAUUUAUCGCCUUUGGAUGGGCCCGCGUUGGAUUAGCUAGUUGGUAGGGGAAAAGCCUACCAAGGCGACGAUCCAUAGCUGGUCUGAGAGGAUGAUCAGCCACACUGGGACUGAGACACGGCCCAGACUCCUACGGGAGGCAGCAGUGGGGAAUAUUGGACAAUGGGCGCAAGCCUGAUCCAGCAAUGCCGCGUGAGUGAUGAAGGCCUUAGGGUUGUAAAGCUCUUUUACCCGGGAUGAUAAUGACAGUACCGGGAGAAUAAGCUCCGGCUAACUCCGUG
rnacentral:rRNA from 1 species